UCCUUCCAGAUUCUUCCAGGAGUGAAGGUCAUCAUCGCACACACUGAGACCAAAGGGCCCCUCGGAGACUCACACCUGGGUGAGAUCUGGGUGAGCAGCCCCCACAAUGCCACUGGGUACUACACGGUCUAUGGGGAGGAGGCACUUCAUGCUGACCACUUCAGUGCCCGGCUGAGCUUUGGAGACACCCAGACCAUUUGGGCAAGGACUGGCUACCUUGGCUUCCUUCGCAGGACAGAGCUGACUGAUGCCAGUGGAGAGCGACACGAUGCGCUGUAUGUUGUCGGCUCUCUGGACGAGACGCUGGAGCUGAGGGGCAUGCGCUAUCACCCCAUCGACAUCGAGACCUCUGUGAUCCGGGCACACAGGAGCAUCGCGGAGUGUGCCGUGUUCACCUGGACCAACCUGCUGGUGGUGGUGGUGGAGCUCGAUGGUCUGGAGCAGGAUGCCCUGGACCUGGUGGCCCUGGUGACCAAUGUCGUGCUGGAGGAGCACUACCUUGUGGUGGGCGUGGUGGUCAUUGUGGACCCUGGAGUGAUCCCCAUCAACUCCCGGGGCGAGAAGCAGCGCAUGCACCUGCGCGACGGCUUCCUGGCCGACCAGCUGGACCCCAUCUAUGUGGCCUACAAUAUGUGAGCCCACUGGACAGAGCUAGCUGUGUGAACCAGCGGAGGCAAAGCUGGCUGCAGGGUUCCUGCCCUGGGGGAGGGGUCUCAGGCUUCAUCAGCUCAGAGCUGCGUGCUGUUCAGACCCUCAGCAGUGUCCUGAACGACCAUCAUGUUAGAACGUUCUCGGAACCAACAAAAGCAGUGUUUUGGAUCUGCCAGGGAUAUCUACCAAAACCUAGGUGACUGGGAAGGGAAGGCAAGGCCUGGCGUUCCGCUGCGGACAUUGCCACGCCACGGCUGUUCUCUGCCCUACUGCAAGCUUGCACUUUUUUUAGGGUAAAAAGUUAUUCCUGAUUUCUAAAUAUAUAAUUUCCUGAUUAUUUAUUCCCACUUGUAAUAAGAAGCAUAUAUGUCAAGCCUAUGCUGGAGAGAACUUUUGAGCCAAGCCUGCUUAGGAAGGCUGACGAAGAGAGCAGCCCCGUUCCCCACGCAGCCACACAGCUUCCUUUGUCCAGUGCGAUUACUGAAGCGGUGGCCUGCCUGUGUGUGUGUCAUCACUGAUGCUCAGCAAGUGCCAUUUCGGACUGUCUAGUUAGAUCCUGUGUCAGAGAGAAACCAGCAUUAAUUUAAAAUUAAUUUAAAGGUAACGUGGUGACCUUUAAACUGCAAGUUCUCACAACAUCACAGUAUCCAUCCUCUCGUGAAGCAUACGGAAUUAUUUUUGUGAACAGAUCUGGACGAAUGAGUGGCACCCCGAGGUCUCCUCACCCGUGUGUCAGCCAGGCCUCUCACUCAGCUGCGUCACCAUGGGAGCCCGUCUGUCUAGGGUGGACAUAGCUGCAGCCUCUUGGCUUUGCAUUUGAGUUAUGUGCCUAUAAAACUUGGCCAAACCGUUUUUAGUUAUUUUAUCCAAACUUGAAAUCCGAGUGAUCUAAUAUUGUACUUAAGUCAGAAAAGAGAAUGUAAAAUCUUUUAGAUACUUAUAAGAGUUUGAUGUCAAGCAUGAAUCUAAGAUUAUUUUUAUAUAACUAAUGAAAGAUUAAUGUUAUCGGGUUGUUGGGGUUUAGGGGUUUGGAAGGAUGGAGAUGUUUAAGAAUCGUAUAGAGACAGCUAGAUCUUUCUAGAGUUGUCCUGGACUUGUGCUUCGGUGAGUCCAGCUAACUGGUUCUACCCUCCUAUCUCACAUCGGGAAGCACUACGUGGUGUAGCCCUGUUGCUCAUGGUAUCGAACUGUGGUGUAGUAUGUUAAAACAUGCUGGAGCUGUAAUAAUCCUGUUAUAACCAUGUACAGAAUCCACAUGAGUCUAGCAGCAGACCCACCGACAGGGUGCGCGGUGGACGGCCGAGAAGGGGCCCGAACUACCUAGCCACCAUCUCAACGCUGUAGUUUUAUAGCAGACGGCGCCUGUAAACUUUUUGUAUUGAAAAUUCAGUGGCGGUGAGAACAUAUCUGUUAAGAUUUUAAGAAUCAUAUUAAAAUGUUUUAAGAUUACUCUCUGGGAAUUCUGUAGAUCACACUAAUUUUUUAUAUCAUGUUAAUAAAAGCUAUUGACUUUGUAAUUCUGC
rnacentral:lncRNA from 1 species